rnacentral:rRNA from 1 species
UAAUACGUAGGGGGCUAGCGUUGUCCGGAUUUAUUGGGCGUAAAGAGCGUGUAGGCGGCCGAGUAAGUCCGGUGUGAAAACUCGAGGCUUAACCUCGAGAUGUCAUCGGAAACUAUUCGGCUAGAGUCCGGAAGAGGAGAGUGGAAUUCCUGGUGUAGCGGUGAAAUGCGCAGAUAUCAGGAAGAACACCUAUGGCGAAAGCAGCUCUCUGGGACGGUACUGACGCUGAGACGCGAAAGCGUGGGGAGCGAACAGGAUUAGAUACCCUGGUAGUCCACGCCGUAAACGAUGGGUGCUAGGUGUGGGCGGUGUCGACUCCGUCCGUGCCGAAGCUAACGCAUUAAGCACCCCGCCUGGGGAGUACGGCCGCAAGGCU